rnacentral:rRNA from 1 species
AGAGUUUGAUCCUGGCUCAGAUUGAACGCUGGCGGCAGGCCUAACACAUGCAAGUCGAACGGUAGCACAGAGGAGCUUGCUCCUUGGGUGACGAGUGGCGGACGGGUGAGUAAUGUCUGGGAAACUGCCCGAUGGAGGGGGAUAACUACUGGAAACGGUAGCUAAUACCGCAUAACGUCGCAAGACCAAAGAGGGGGACCUUCGGGCCUCUUGCCAUCGGAUGUGCCCAGAUGGGAUUAGCUAGUAGGUGGGGUAACGGCUCACCUAGGCGACGAUCCCUAGCUGGUCUGAGAGGAUGACCAGCCACACUGGAACUGAGACACGGUCCAGACUCCUACGGGAGGCAGCAGUGGGGAAUAUUGCACAAUGGGCGCAAGCCUGAUGCAGCCAUGCCGCGUGUAUGAAGAAGGCCUUCGGGUUGUAAAGUACUUUCAGCGAGGAGGAAGGCGUUGUGGUUAAUAACCGCAACGAUUGACGUUACUCGCAGAAGAAGCACCGGCUAACUCCGUGCCAGCAGCCGCGGUA